AGAUCUCUGAAGAUAUAUUAGUAUAAUCGAAGAGAUCUGACUUAAAAAUUUAGAUAAUACAAAUAACUCAUCUGUUAUAUAUAUUAAGUGAAAAAAUGUCCAUAACAUGGUCUUAAUCUUGCAAAAAAUUAAACACUUUUUAUUUAUUAGAAAAUUAGUGUUUUCCGUUGUGUUUAGACAAGUAUGGCUUUUUUUUAUAAUACACAUAUUAUGACACUAUGUGAACACAUAAAUUCUAUGACUUAUAUAGCGUGUUUAAUAAUGAAGAAUUCAGAACUCAGAGAAUAUAAAGCACUCAUUAAGCUAACGAAAAUAUGUCUAAUCAAUAUAUGAAUCGAAAAAUUACUAUCGAAACUGAAAGUUAUUUCUUUCUUCAGAAGACGCAAACAAUUUUCAGUUUUGAUAUAAAGUUAUAAUACAGUUUGUAAUACAAAUGAUCUACUUGCCCCAAAAAGUCAAUUUUUUUAUUUAUGUUAAAAAAUUAGAUAUUUUUUUUACAAAUAAGUGCGCGUUCGUUUUGAACUACCAAGUCCUGAACUCUAUUCUUCAAACACUUUAUGUAUCUGAAUGAUAUCAGAAGUGAAGACAACACACAAGCUUGAUUUCCUUGCAAAUCAGAACAUGCCAUUUUCAAGUAGUCGCACACACACAUUCACAGACAAAAUCUGAAUAAUUUUUAUCAAAAAUUAUGCAUACUUUGCUGUUCCGUUUCGCUUUACUACUUAAUGUACUUUGGCAUUGAAAUUUUAUCAGACAUCAGGAAUCUCAAAAUUUGUAUCAUUGCACACUUCUUGAUAUUUGAAGCAGAAUAGUUCAAAGGUGAGAAAUCUUCAGUAAAAAUAGAUAAAACUUAGAUUAUUGUGGCAUAUAGUAUUUAUAUAGAAGAGCGUUUUCUUUCUUUUUUUUUGUUUCUAGUAGUAUGACUCUGGUGAGAGUUGCGUUGCUUUGGAAUGGAUGAGAUUGCAUUAUUGGGUUAUACAUAGAAGUCAUUAGUCUGUAUAUUUUAGAAGAAAUUUUCCAUUGACGAAGUCAGCUAGAGCUAGAAUUCAUUUUGUAUGCCUAUGCAAUGAGAGAAGCCUAUUAAAUUGAGUAUAAUUUACAUAUUUUACAUAUAAGUAUUAUACUUGUUGAAGUGAAGACUUGCUGCAAGCUUAUAUGAAUAAGAUGCACGUCUAUAUAUAUGUAUAUAUAAGCCUUUUUUAAAAUUAUUACUAUAACUAUUUUUAUGAAUUGAGCCUUUGCAGAUUACUGCGAAAAAUAAGUGAAUUGAAAGAAAUUUUAUUUUGCAAAAUUGAAUUACAUUAAUGAUAAUCGAAAGUUUAUUAAUGGUAAUGUGUUUCUUAAUUGUAUCAUUAGUUCAUUUCAUCAAUUUUUCACAAAAAUCUGCAAAAUAUGAUUACUUGGAAUUACCAUUUCACAGAUUGAAACGCGCAUCACGCUAACGUGAGGGAAUUUAAAAAAAACAUUAAGAUAUCUGAUAGGAUAUAAGAAAAAAAUUGUUGUAAUCAUUCAUUUAAAUAGCUUAUAUUCUGAAUGUUAAGUUAAAAAUUCAGCAAACUUUAAAUCAUAAAUUUAAUGAAGACAUUGAGUUUUCAUCAAAGCGAGUCAGAUUAAUGUACAAGUAUGUCUAAAAUAUCAAAAGAGAUAUAGGUAGAAAGAGAGAGAGAGAGAGAGAGAGGAAAAGA